CCUACGGGGGGCUGCAGUGGGGGAUAUUGCACAAUGGGGGAAACCCUGAUGCAGCGACGCCGCGUGUGUGAAGACGGUCCUCUGGAUUGUAAACCACUGUCCUCAGGGACGAAAAUGACGGUACCUGGGGAGGAAGCUCCGGCUAACUACGUGCCAGCAGCCGCGGUAAUACGUAGGGAGCGAGCGUUGUCCGGAAUUACUGGGUGUAAGGGGAGCGUAGGCGGGGAUGCAAGUUGGGUGUCAAAACUACGGGCUAAACUGGUAGUCGCACUCGAAACUGCAGCUCUUGAGUGAAGUAGAGGCAGGCGGAAUUCCUAGUGUAGCGGUGAAAUGCGUAGAUAUUAGGAGGAACACCAGUGGCGAAGGCAGCCUGCUGGGCUUUUACUGACGCUGAGGCUCGAAAGUGUGGGGAGCAAACAGGAUUAGAUACCCGGGUAGUC
rnacentral:rRNA from 1 species